GACGAACGCUGGCGGCGUGCUUAACACAUGCAAGUCGAACGGAAAGGCCCUGCUUUUGUGGGGUGCUCGAGUGGCGAACGGGUGAGUAACAUGUGAGUAACCUGCCCUUGACUUUGGGAUAACUUCAGGAAACUGGGGCUAAUACCGGAUAGGAGCUCCUGCUGCAUGGUGGGGGUUGGAAAGUUUCGGCGGUUGGGGAUGGACUCGCGGCUUAUCAGCUUGUUGGUGGGGUAGUGGCUUACCAAGGCUUUGACGGGUAGCCGGCCUGAGAGGGUGACCGGCCACAUUGGGACUGAGAUACGGCCCAGACUCCUACGGGAGGCAGCAGUGGGGAAUAUUGCACAAUGGGCGGAAGCCUGAUGCAGCAACGCCGCGUGCGGGAUGACGGCCUUCGGGUUGUAAACCGCUUUCGCCUGUGACGAAGCGUGAGUGGCGGUAAUGGGUAAAGAAGCACCGGCUAACUACGU
rnacentral:rRNA from 1 species